rnacentral:sRNA from 1 species
ACCAGGUAUGGUGGCGCAGCCUGUAAUCCCAGCAACAUGGGAGGCUGAGACAGGAGGGCUUUGAGUUCUAAGCCAGUCUCAGCAACUUGGUGAGGCACUUAGCAACUCAGUGAGACCCUGUCUCUA